UACGAAGGGGGCUAGCGUUGCUCGGAAUUACUGGGCGUAAAGCGCACGUAGGCGGAUCUUUAAGUCAGGGGUGAAAUCCUGGAGCUCAACUCCAGAACUGCCUUUGAUACUGAGGACCUUGAGUUCGGGAGAGGUGAGUGGAACUGCGAGUGUAGAGGUGAAAUUCGUAGAUAUUCGCAAGAACACCAGUGGCGAAGGCGGCUCACUGGCCCGAUACUGACGCUGAGGUGCGAAAGCAUGGGUAGCGAACAGG
rnacentral:rRNA from 1 species